UGUAAUCUGAGAAAUCGAGUCCUGUUUGGAAGGCAGUAUAUAUCAGGGUCCUCUCUGCUUCCUUUUCAGUCUGUUUCGCAAUGUUGGACAUCUUCCUGCUGAUGUUUUUCGCCAUUGUGAGUUUAGUGAUUCUGUCCUACAUCAUCUAUGUUCUGUAAGGAGAUGGAAGCACCAGCAGCACCAACAAUAACCGGGCGCUUUCAGAAAGCUGCAAGGCGGAGCCUCUUGGAACCAUGAGCCAUGGCUGGCAUUGCGUUUUUCCUCAGUUGGCCCUCAGCAGUAAUGAGGGAUCCCCAUGUUGGACUGUUAAGACCGUUUUUCUUGGAUUCAUCUCCUCAGUGGGACGGUGUAGAAUCCUAAUGAACGGAGGCACCUGCUGAGCUACAUCGAGUCACCGUCACAAAGAUUGAUAGGUACCUAGAGUUUUCCUGAAACAAACACCAUCCAUCCCAGUUUUGUUUCCAGAAGAUCUCAAGAUGUUGGCAGAUGAACACUCCUGGCCAUUGUGUUGGACCAUGCCUUCGGGUCGGAAAUUAAAACUGUUGAAAUAUG